rnacentral:rRNA from 1 species
GAUGAACGCUAGCGGCAGGCUUAACACAUGCAAGUCGAGGGGUAACAGGAGUGCUUGCACUCGCUGACGACCGGCGCACGGGUGCGUAACGCGUAUAGAACCUACCUUUUACUGAGGGAUAGCCUUUAGAAAUGAAGAUUAAUACCUCAUGGUAUUGCAAUUUGGCAUCAGAUUGUAAUUAAAGAUUUAUUGGUAAAAGAUGGCUAUGCGUCUUAUUAGCUAGAUGGUAAGGUAACGGCUUACCAUGGCAACGAUAAGUAGGGGCCCUGAGAGGGGGAUCCCCCACACUGGUACUGAGACACGGACCAGACUCCUACGGGAGGCAGCAGUGAGGAAUAUUGGGCAAUGGAGGCAACUCUGACCCAGCCAUGCCGCGUGCAGGAAGACUGCCCUAUGGGUUGUAAACUGCUUUUAUACAGGAAGAAACACACCUACGUGUAGGUGCUUGACGGUACUGUAAGAAUAAGCACCGGCUAACUCCGUG